CAAAAAGUCGCAAUACACAUUUAAAAUCGCAGAUAGUCAAGAAAUAGAGAAAAAUUAAAAUGUUUUUUUUUUAUAAAACAUUUUGUGGCGCUUAGCGCAAAAUAACUUAUCAGUAUCCUUUUAUUGUAUAUUAGAAACCAUUUCAUCAAACACAAUAUAAAGGAAAUGUUUAAAAACAGCAUAAAAGAGUAGCUUGUGCCUUUUUCAAAACCCAGAAUUGGGAAUACAAAUGUUUCUUAAAUUUCCCGAAGAACAGUCAAUACUCCCCAACUGUAAGCGCUGUCGAGUGUAAAGCCCACACACCCUGCUACCUUAAUGGAAUUCAAUUUUUUACGACGAUUUUGGCAAAACCACAAAGGGUAGAUGGGGCUACAAGUGGAGCUGCAUUUGAUUGCUUGGUGAAGCAUCCAGAGCAGGAGGAAACCGCAAUCACAACGCCUCAAGUCGUCGUUUGCUGGUAAUACAAACGACAAUUACAACUUGGCUUCUAACGAACGUACAAACAGAUGGACCGCAAUCGCAGGAGGGGAUAAAGGAUUCGACUGGGGACGACACGAGAGCGUACUAAAAGCAAAUCUGUGCGGUUAAACGCAAGUGUCAGCUGUCAUUUUUGUGGAAAGAAUUCCGGCAAAAAGUGCCAAGAAGCAUGAAAAAAAAGCGCAGUCACACACACACAGCACGGAGUGAAUAUGCAAAGGCAAUAAUUCUUGGAGCAAGUGUAACAAGAAAAUAAGCGCAGUGGUAGUGGCAAUGGCAAUGGAAAUGGAAAUGCUGAGCAGAAUCGUCGUAAUGAAAGCUGGGCUGCAGUCAAGGGAUGUCAGCAUCUGUACUGAAGAGCUAUAAAAAAGUCCUGUUUCUUUGUAGUGGACCAUGGGAAAAAGGAGGGAGUGAAAGAUGUACAUAAAUUGCUUAUAUACUCCCAC
ensembl:ncRNA lncRNA:CR43420 long non-coding RNA:CR43420